rnacentral:rRNA from 1 species
UACAGAGGUCUCAACCGUUGUUCGGAUUCAUUGGGCGUAAAGGGUGCGUAGGCGGCGCGGUAAGUCGGGUGUGAAAUCUUGGAGCUUAACUCCGAAACUGCAUUCGAUACUGCCGUGCUUGAGGACUGGAGAGGAGACUGGAAUUUACGGUGUAGCGGUGAAAUGCGUAGAUAUCGUAAGGAAGACCAGUGGCGAAGGCGGGUCUCUGGACAGUUCCUGACGCUGAGGCACGAAGGCCAGGGGAGCAAACGGG